GCGCCUGUAGCUCAAUGGAUAGAGCACCAGACUUCGAAUCUGUAGGUUGGGGGUUCGACUCCCUCCAGGCGUACUA
rnacentral:tRNA from 1 species